rnacentral:lncRNA from 1 species
UGGAACUCACUUUGUAGACCAGGCUAGCCUUGAACUCAGAAAUCUGCCUGCCUCUGCCUCCCUAGUGCUGGGAUUAAAGGUGUCUGCCAACACCAGCCGGCAACAUUAUUCAUUCUUUUUUUUUUUCUUGAGUAUUUUCUUCAUUUACAUUUCAAAUGCUAUUCCAAAAGUAUAGGGGAUUUUGGGAACAUUAUUCAUGCUUGAGAAAAAUUCUAGCAACUGUCAACUAUCUGCUCAAGUAUGAUGAUGUCUCUGUUUUGUUCCUACCUGGAAACUCAUAGGGAUAAAAGUUUUAUGAGGUUCAUUGAUGAGGUAACUGGUUUAGAAUUCACAGUUUACUUUAAGUCCAUGAAAUAACUCAUUCAGGUGUGAAACACUGUUGGUGAGUAUUAGUGCUUUUUCUGUUGUUGUGAUAAAAUGUCUAAUGUAUUAUAGAAAAAUGCAAUCCCAAACCAGGGUUUCCACCCCAACUUUGGCCAUUUCUUUUCUAGGUAAAACACACCCAACUUUUCUAUUUGUGAUAAACCUUAAUCAGCACCAAACAUUGGCUGAUAUCUAUCCUCUAUGCUACCACGUCUAUUUACCAGCCAGGAAUUUUGUCAUAUAAUUUGCCUUAUUUCAUCUGGGCUAUGCUUAAUUCCAAGUAGUCACCGCACAUGACCAUUAUUUUGUUAUUGACCUAACCUAAGGCUGCUUUUUCUCUGUCUACUUCUCUUCUCUUCUCUUCUCUUCUCUUCUCUUCUCUUCUCUUCUCUUCUCUUCUCUUCUCUUCUCUUCUCUUCUCUUCUCUUCUCUUCUCUUCUCUUCUCUUAGUUGGAUACUC